UUUUUUGGCAUAUCAAUAAGCGGAGGAAAAGAAACCAACAGGGAUUGCCCCAGUAACGGCGAGUGAAGCGGCAACAGCUCAAAUUUGAAAUCUGGCUCUCGGGCCCGAGUUGUAAUUUGUAGAGGAUGCUUUUGGCGAGGUGCCUUCUGAGUUCCCUGGAACGGGACGCCAGAGAGGGUGAGAGCCCCGUAUAGUCGGACACCUAGCCUCUGUAAAGCUCCUUCGACGAGUCGAGUAGUUUGGGAAUGCUGCUCAAAAUGGGAGGUAUAUCUCUUCUAAAGCUAAAUAUAGGCCAGAGACCGAUAGCGCACAAGUAGAGUGAUCGAAAGAUGAAAAGCACUUUGAAAAGAGGGUUAAAUAGCACGUGAAAUUGUUGAAAGGGAAGCGCUUGUGACCAGACUUGUGCCGGGCUGAUCAUCCGUCGUUUUCGGCGGUGCACUCGACCCGGCUCAGGCCAGCGUCGGUUCUCGUAGGGGGAUAAAAGCUUCGGGAACGUGGCUCCUUCGGGAGUGUUAUAGCCCGUUGCUUAAUACCCUUGUGGGGACCGAGGUUCGCGCUCUGCAAGGACGCUGGCAUAAUGGUCAUCAGCGACCCGUCUUGAAACACGGACCAAAAAA
rnacentral:rRNA from 1 species